CGAAUGCUUGUUCGAGAAACUGUUGCUUGUAAAUGCAGUGUGCUAAAAUAGUUUGGGCGGGUUCAAUUAGGCUUCUGAACCUUUAGCAGGUUUAGUGAGGAAUUUUCUAUUUGAUAGUCUCUUGCAGCUCGUAUUUACCAUUUAUUCUGAUAACCAAUUUGAUGCAAGUAAACUGAUUGUUUUUUUCUUCAUCUGAUACACAUACAGUAAACUGUUCGUUUUGCGAUUCAUUCUGCACACCACAAUGCGACUCGAUGAUCCUGCCGUCUGCUGCUUGCAUCGAGCGCGCUGUGAAUCCACUGCUCGUUCGUCCCAUCCGUCGGUUUCUGAUGAGAUUCUCAUGCCGUCGGUUUCUGAUCUACAUCUGUAGCUCGGCAUCUGCGUCAACCAGUUCCUCUCCAUUUUUGCCUCCAAGAACUCCGACAUUUUUGCCUGCAAGUUACGGACUUGUCUACUUACCUUAUGUAUUUAAGGGUCUUCUGGGAUGUGCAGGAAUAGGGCAUUCGCGUUCUUGUUCGCCGAUGGCUCCAGCGAGGAACUGAGCUCGCUGCAGGCGGAGGAACUGGCUGGGCCGGUGCCCUUCGUCAUGGCUGGCGUCAGCUAGGUCCAGCCGCCCUGGAUAGAAAGGUCAAAUUCAACCUUGAAGUAGUAAGCAAAUUCGAAAAAAAUGGAGAAUUAGAGCAGAAGAAAGCUUUGGAAUAGAAUUAGUACAAAAGAAAAUUGAGAAUUCUCUGUUCCUUUUUGUUCUGCAUGUCAACAAGUUGCUAAGAAAAACUCUUGGAUGAAAACUUGUACGUGAUGUGUUGGAAGAAACACUUUGUAUUUGAUGUAAUACUGGAUGAAAAGUUAUUGUAUUUGAUGUAAUACUGGAUGAAAGUUAUUGUAUUUGAUGUGAUGCCAGUUCUGUUUA